rnacentral:rRNA from 1 species
UACGGAGGAGGCAAGCGUUAUCCGGAAUUAUUGGGCGUAAAGCGUCCGCAGGUGGCUAUUCAAGUCUGCGGUCAAAGACUGGGGCUUAACCCUGGAAAGGCCGUGGAAACUGAAGAGCUAGAGUGCAGUAGGGGUAGAGGGAAUUCCCAGUGUAGCGGUGAAAUGCGUAGAGCUCGGGAAGAACAUCGGUGGCGAAAGCGCUCUGCUGGACUGCAACUGACACUCAGGGACGAAAGCUAGGGGAGCGAAUGGG